rnacentral:rRNA from 1 species
GAUGAACGCUGGCGGCGUGCCUAAUACAUGCAAGUCGAGCGAACAGACGAGGAGCUUGCUCCUCUGACGUUAGCGGCGGACGGGUGAGUAACACGUGGAUAACCUACCUAUAAGACUGGGAUAACUUCGGGAAACCGGAGCUAAUACCGGAAAAUAUAUUGAACCGCAUGGUUCAAUAGUGAAAGACGGUUUUGCUGUCACUUAUAGAUUGAUCCGCGCCGCAUUUGCUGGUUUGUAAGGUAACGGCUUACCAAGGCAACGAUUCGUAGCCGAGCUGCGAGGGUGAUCGGCCACACUGGAACUGGGAAACGGUCCAAACUCCUACGGGAGGCAGCAGGAGGGAAUCUUCCGCAAUGGGCGAAGGGUUGACGGAGCAACGCCGCGUGAGGUAUGAAGGUCUUCGGAUCUUAAAACUCUGUUAUUAGGGAAGAACAAAUGUGUAAGUAACUAUGCACGUCUUGACGGUACCUAAUCAGAAAGCCACGGCUAACUACGUU